rnacentral:rRNA from 1 species
ACGCUGGCGGCGUGCCUAAUACACGCAAGUCGAACGCUGGAAAUCUAGCUUGCUAGAUUGAAGGAGUGGCGAACGGGUGAGUAAUACAUAAGCAACCUACCCACGAAGACUGGGAUAAUCUCUGGAAACGGGGACUAAUACCGGAUAGGUAAUCGGAAGGCAUCUUCUGAUUACUAAAGGUUAAAAACACUGGUGGAUGGGCUUAUGGCGCAUUAGUUAGUUGGUGAGGUAACGGCCCACCAAGACGAUGAUGCGUAGCCGGCCUGAGAGGGUGAACGGCCACACUGGGACUGAGACACGGCCCAGACUCCUACGGGAGGCAGCAGUAGGGAAUUUUCGGCAAUGGGGGAAACCCUGACCGAGCAACGCCGCGUGAGUGAUGACGGCCUUCGGGUUGUAAAGCUCUGUUGUAAGGGAAGAACGGUAGAUAGAGAAUAUCUAAAUGACGGUACCUUACCAGAAAGCCACGGCUAACUACGUGCCAGCAGCCGCGGUAAUACGUAGGUGGCGAGCGUUAUCCGGAAUUAUUGGGCGUAAAGGGUGCGUAGGCGGCCUGUUAAGUAAGUGGUUAAAUUGUUGGGCUCAACCCAAUCCAGCCACUUAAACUGGCAGGCUAGAGUAUUGGAGAGGCAAGUGGAAUUCCAUGUGUAGCGGUAAAAUGCGUAGAUAUAUGGAGGAACACCAGUGGCGAAGGCGGCUUGCUAGCCAAAGACUGACGCUCAUGCACGAAAGCGUGGGGAGCAAAUAGGAUUAGAUACCCUAGUAGUCCACGCCGUAACCGAUGAAUACUAAGUAUUGGGGAAACUCAGUGCUGCACUAACGCAAUAAGUAUUCCGCCUGUGGAGUAUGCACGCAAGUGUGAAACAUAAAGGAAUUGACGGGGGCCCGCACAAGCGGUGGAGUAUGUGGUU